GAAAAGAACUUUGGAGAGAGAGUUCAAGAGAGCGUGAAACCGUUGGGAGGGAAGUCCGGGGUGCCGAGGCGGUCCGUCCCUCCGGAGUUCAGCGGGCCCCUUUCGGGGGGACCGUGCACUCUCCGGUGGGACUCGGUGACCGUCAGCUUGUGCGAGGUCCGUCUUCGAGCGUCCGACGGGGAGGUGCCGUCUCUGCCCCUCGGGGAGAGACGGUCGUAGAGCCCGACGGCGGCGUCGACGUGACUCUCGCUCGGGAGUGUAGCGGGACUUCGUUCCGCGUGGUGACAGGUGCGGUGCCUCUCCAGGGAGGCAGCGGGCUCCGGCUGGCGUUCUCCUCCGGCGUUUCGGACUUUCCGUUGGGCGGGCUCGUCCCCGCGGCGCGUCCGUCCUUCGGUUCCGGAGUCUCGGAGUGUUCGGCAGUCGUCGGUCUCGUCG
rnacentral:rRNA from 1 species